rnacentral:rRNA from 1 species
CAGUCGCCACGGUAAUACGUAGGGUGCAAGCGUUACUCGGAAUUACUGGGCGUAAAGCGUGCGUAGGUGGUGGUUUAAGUCCGUUGUGAAAGCCCUGGGCUCAACCUGGGAAUUGCAGUGGAUACUGGAUCACUAGAGUGUGGUAGAGGAUAGUGGAAUUUCCGGUGUAGCAGUGAAAUGCGUAGAGAUCGGAAGGAACAUCUGUGGCGAAGGCGACUAUCUGGGCCAACACUGACACUGAGGCACGAAAGCGUGGGGAGCAAACAGGAUUAGAUACCCGCGUAGUCCCUGUCUCUUAUAC